UACGUAGGGGGCAAGCGUUGUCCGGAAUUAUUGGGCGUAAAGAGCUCGUAGGCGGUCUGUCGCGUCUGGUGUGAAAACUCAGGGCUUAACCCUGAGCUUGCAGUGGGUACGGGCAGACUAGAGUGCGGUAGGGGAGACUGGAAUUCCUGGUGUAGCGGUGAAAUGCGCAGAUAUCAGGAGGAACACCGGUGGCGAAGGCGGGUCUCUGGGCCGUAACUGACGCUGAGGAGCGAAAGCAUGGGGAGCGAACAGG
rnacentral:rRNA from 1 species